GUUUAGUAUUUAGGCUACUUUAAUGUUUUCUCCUGUGCUCUCUUCAUACUUACACUUUCAUUGGCAUCACAUGCCCUGUUACUGGCUCUUCCGGUUUACUGCAAACCACAACACUGAAGCAUUAAGUGGCAGAAUUUCCCACUUGUUCUCUCAAGUCUUCACAACACGUUGCUCUGGUUUAACUCAGCGCCUUUAACUCAGACAGAACAGCGAUGGCAGCCUUUCACACACACCGUCCCGUGACAGUGACUGUUGGUGCUGCCUGGACCUUUUACCUGGACCCUCGGCCACAUCCACGCAAGACUUCAUCAGUAACUGGCAUCGUCUGUUUGGUCGCCUUUGUGACGCGACUCGUCUUCGGCGUUGUGUUUUACAGGGACUGUCCUCAGGAGCCAAACAUCCCCGUCUACCUGAUCGGGAUGUCCGUGCUGACCCUCAUAAGCGUCUUCAUCAUGAUGUGUCCGAGCAAAGCAACGCCGGCCAGCGGUUUCCUGGCCGGUCUGGUCUGUGUGAUGGGCCUGGGAGCCUGUAUAUGGAUCAUGGCUGGUAAUGUGAGGAUCUUCUUGGCUUAUCAGCCCAACUAUGCGCCCACAGCUGCAGACGGCCUCUACUGUAAUAAGACCCUCUACACAUUCGCCUUCUGGAACGCAGUGUGGGAGACGUUCUCUCUCGUGGUGAUCGUGGCCAGAAUGUGCGGAGGCCUGCUGCUGGCAGUGACUGUGAGGCCCGUGCCCACAGACAGAGACUUUUAUGGGAAUGUCUGAGGCACGGACGCCGAAUGAGGCCUGGCACAGAGCAAUGUAAAUACUGUAGUAGAUGAUGUAGAUGUGUUCCCAGCACAGUUCUUCUGGUUUGAGAGGACCAGGUUCCUUUUAUAGCACGCCAGGUUCCACCUUGGUCUCAUGACAAGCUUGGAAAGCUGAAAGAAACAUUUUGAGAUAAAAACACAAACACUUGACAAAUGAAGACAUUAAUUAUGCCAUAAAAAACAAGAAAAUGAAUUAGUAGCUCUCUAAUGUUUUGUUAGAGUCUGCUUCCAUAGUUUAGCAAACAAGAACAAAUUAUUUGAUGAAUACAAAUGUGGUUUGCUUGUGGGACCAACGCACUAAAAUGACUCGUCCAUGUUCAUCCUAAUAAACAAACAAACUGUUUAGUGCUAUAAAUAGAU
rnacentral:lncRNA from 1 species